UCUCCCUACUCGUACGACCCCCUCAGUCGAUCACUGUGAUGGUAAUAAAUGAUGAAUCUUGAUUAUAAUUAGUAGUACUUAGUUCAGUCCAUCUGUCUGAAAUCUUUCAUUGAUGCCUGCUGUGUCACACCCAGUGUAGAAUUCUGAUAUAUGUGCCCCCCUCGGUAAUUUCCAAUGUUGUGUGGCUUGCUAUUUGUUUGCAAAAUUGCUCAGUUCCAGCCGAUUGAUGCUGUUUAGUUCUGAACGGCUGCUGUAGUUGUGCAUUUUAUUCUUGUAGAUUGUUUGCCUGGCGUCAGACAUUGGGUUUUUGAUCUUUGUUGUGUGUGACGGGGGGACAUCCGAGUCCUUUUGCCUGAUAAGGAGCAAACUCUUUGUGUUUGUAUAUUCCUUGGCGAACGUCACAAAUCAAGCCUUUGUAUGUUGAGGUUCCCCUGGAAUUGCUCCAUGCAAAGGCGGUCUCAUAUUCCAUUGCCCUUGAUAGCGGCGUUGCUGCAGUUAAACUUUGGGACUUGCCAUGAGACAAUCAGUAACUUCUAUUCAUUCAAUUCAAUUUUCUCUUUCUUUAAGCACAUGUGGUACAUUUCUGUGUGCAUGUUUACAUGUGGUACAUUUCUGUGUGCAUGUUUUUGUGUGACGGAGGACAUCCGAGUCCUUUUGCUAUUUUGGAGCAAACAAUCCAUGUUUGCAUAUUCCUUAGCAAACAUCAUAAAGUAAGCCUUCUGUUGUUGAGGUUUCCCUCCAGGGAUUUCUCCAUUAGAAGGCAGUCUCAUAUUCCAUCGCCCUUGAUAGCAACGUUGCUGCAUUUAAACUUUGGGAAUUGCCAUGAGACUAACAUCUGUUCUUGCCCAAAUAUUAUUUCAAAUAUGCUGCAAUGUGUCUUUAUUUAUUUAUGAAACUAUUUUUAUGUGAUGGGAGGACAUCCGAGUCCUCUUGCUUUUGUGGAGCAAACAGUCCAUGUUUGUAUAGUCCUUAGCAAACAUCACAAAGUGAUCCUUCUGUUGUUGAGGUUUCCCUCCAGGGAUUUCUCCAUUAGAAGGCAGUCUCAUAUUCCAUUGCCCUUGAUAGCAGUGUUGCUGCAUUUAAACUUUGGGAAUUGCCAUGAGACUUACAUCUGUUAUUGCCCAAAUUUUAUAUCAAAUAAUAUCUUCUGUAAAAUACUGCAUCUUUAUUUAUUUAUGAGAACUAUUGUUAUGUGGUGCGAGGACAUCCGAGUCCUCUUGCUUUUGUGGAGCAAACAAUCCAUGUUUGUAUAGUCCUUGGCAAACAUCAUAAAGUGAGCCUUCUGUUGUUGAGGUUUCCCUCCAGGGAUUUCUCCUUUAGAAGGCAGUCUCAUAUUCCAUCGCCCUUGAUAGCAGCGUUGUUGCUUUUAAACUUUGGGAAUUGCCAUGAGAUGCACAUCACUAAAACACAUCCUUUUUUGGUUAUCAUAUUUUAAUUUUUCUGUGAUGGAAGUCUUUUUAUAUGGAGCAAACUCCCCAUGUUUGUAUAUUCCUAAGCAAACAUCGUAGACUAACCUUUUUGAUGUUGAGGUUUUCUCCUUCUGAAGGUUGUCUCAUCUCCCAUCACCCUUGGUAGCAGCGUUGCUGCAUUGAAACUUUUGGACUUGCCAUGAGACAAAAAUCAGU